rnacentral:rRNA from 1 species
UACGAAGGGGGCUAGCGUUGUUCGGAAUUACUGGGCGUAAAGCGCACGUAGGCGGACUAUUAAGUCAGGGGUGAAAUCCCGGGACUCAACCCCGGAACUGCCUUUGAUACUGGUAGUCUCGAGUCCGGAAGAGGUGAGUGGAAUUCCGAGUGUAGAGGUGAAAUUCGUAGAUAUUCGGAGGAACACCAGUGGCGAAGGCGGCUCACUGGUCCGGUACUGACGCUGAGGUGCGAAAGCGUGGGGAGCAAACAGG